UGUGCCAGCAGCCGCGGUAAUACGAAGGGUGCAAGCGUUAAUCGGAAUUACUGGGCGUAAAGCGCGCGUAGGUGGUUUGUUAAGUUGGAAGUGAAAGCCCCGGGCUCAACCUGGGAACUGCUUUCAAAACUGGCAAGCUAGAGUAUGGCAGAGGGUGGUGGACUUUCCUGUGUAGCGGUGAAAUGCGUAGAUAUAGGAAGGAACACCAGUGGCAAAGGCGACCACCUGGGCUAAUACUGACACUGAGGUGCGAAAGCGUGGGGAGCAAACAGGAUUAGAUA
rnacentral:rRNA from 1 species